UUAAGCUACUAAGGGCACAUGAAGGAUGCCUUGGCACGAUCAGGCGAUGAAGGACGUGGUAAGCUGCGAAAAGCUUCGGGGAACUGCACACGAGUUUUGAUCCGGAGAUAUCCGAAUGGGGAAACCCAGUGGAAGUAAUGUUCCACUAUCCCGUACUGAAUCCAUAGGUGCGGGAAGCGAGACGCGGGGAAGUGAAACAUCUCAGUACCCGCAGGAGAAGAAAUCAACCGAGAUUCCGCAAGUAGUGGCGAGCGAACGCGGAGAAGGCUAAACCGUCCGGUUUACCGGGCGGGGUUGCGGGACUUCGACACGGCAAGACCAGUCGAUAGCGGAAGCUGUUGGAAAGCAGCGGCAUAGAAGGUGAUACCCCUGUAUGCGAAAUUGACUGUAAGCCCAGAAGGAUCCCAAGUAGGUCGGAACACGUGAAACUCUGACUGAAUCCGGGGGGCCCACCCUCCAAGCCUGAAUACUCGAUCGUGACCGAUAGCGCAUAGUACCGCGAGGGAAAGGUGAAAAAGUACCCCGGAAGGGGAGUGAAAAGUAUCUGAAAUCAUGUGUCUACAAAGUGUCGGAGCGAAAGCGACGGCAUGCCUUUUGCAUAAUGAGCCUGCGACUUACUCUAACGAGCGAGGUUAAGCCGAGUGCGGAGCCGAAGCGAAAGCGAGUGUGAAUAGCGCGUCUAGUUCGUUGGAGUAGACCCGAAGCUGAGUGAUCUAUCCAUGGCCAGGUUGAACCUGCAGUAACAUGCAGCGGAGGACCGAACCAGUUCAUGUUGAAAAAUGUUUGGAUGAGCUGUGGAUAGGGGUGAAAGGCCAAUCAAACUCAGUGAUAGCUGGUUCUCUUCGAAAUAGCUUUAGGGCUAGCCUUGCGUAAAUAGUUUGUGGGGGUAGAGCUACUGAUUGUUCGCGGGCCCUUACCGGGGUACCAAGAACUAUUAAACUCCGAAUACCAUGAACCGUACCGCAGGAGUCAGACUAUGGGGGAUAAGCUUCAUGGUCGAGAGGGAGACAGCCCAGACCGCCGGCUAAGGUCCCCAAUCCGGACUUAGUGGUUUGAAGGAUGUGAUGUUGCAUAAACAGCCAGGAUGUUGGCUUAGAGGCAGCCAUCAUUUAAAGAGUGCGUAAUAGCUCACUGGUCGAGUGAUAUCGCGCCGAAGAUGAUCGGGACUGAAGUCCAGAACCGAAGCCGCGGAUCGUGAAUUUAUUCACGGUGGUAGAAGAGCGUUGUAUGCGGGUCGAAGCCGAAGAGGGAUCUGAGGUGGACUGCAUACAAGUGACCAUGCAGGCAUGAGUAGCGAAAAACCGGAUGAGAAUUCCGGUCACCGAAAACCUAAGGUUUCCCGGGGAAGGUUCGUCCGCCCGGGGUUAGUCGGAACCUAAGGCGAGGCCGAAAGGCGUAGUCGAUGGAGGACAGGUUAAUAUUCCUGUACCACCUUGUUGGAGUGAUGGAGGGACGCAGUAAGUCAGGUGAGCCAACUGCUGAAUAUGUUGGUCGAAGGCCGUAGGGCGCACGAUAGGCAAAUCCGUCGUGCUUUCAACCCGAGAGUCGUAAGGUAGCCGAACGCAAGUUUGGCGAAUUCACUGUGACGACGCUGACGAGAAAAGCUUCUAAACGUUGAAAACAGGGUGUCCGUACCGAAACCGACACAGGUAGGUGAGGCGAGCAGCCUAAGGUGCGCGAGAGAAACCAACGUUAAGGAACUCGGCAAAUUGACCCCGUAACUUAGGGAUAAGGGGUGCCGCUUCAGGUGAAGGGACUUGCUCCCGGAGCCCAGAGCGGUUGCAACAAAGAGGCUGGUGCGACUGUUUAACAAAAACACAGCUCUAUGCUAACUCGCAAGAGGAUGUAUAUGGAGUGACACGUGACCAAUGCCAAAAGGUCAAUGGGAGAGGUUAGCGCAAGCGAAGCUUCGAUCUGAAGCCCUGGUGAAUGUCGGCCGUAACUAUAACGGUCCUAAGGUAGCGAAAUUCCUUGUCGGGUAAGUUCCGACCUGCACGAAUGG
rnacentral:rRNA from 1 species